rnacentral:tRNA from 1 species
GGACAGGUGGCCGAGUGGUCGAAGGCGCACGAUUGGAAAUCGUGUGUACCUCCAAAGGGUACCAAGGGUUCGAAUCCCUUUCUGUCCGCCA